GCCGGAGUGGCGGAAUGGCAGACGCAGGGGACUUAAAAUCCUUUGUCCCGAAAGGACGUGCGGGUUCGACUCCCGCCUCCGGCACCA
rnacentral:tRNA from 1 species